CAAUACUCUCGGGGAUGGCUCGGCAAAUUGAACACUUUGAACCGUACAUGAAAAAAAGUUUGAAAAGUCUUUGAUUUUGUUGAGUUGAAGUGACUUACAAAAUUGGAUCGAAGCUCGGUUACAAAAUUGGGACGAAGUCCGAUUACAAAUAUCAAAGAUGAAACAGAAACAAAGAAAUACAAAGAUAAUGGAGCAGACACUCUGACUAUUCGUCGGAGUCGACUUCUUGCACCAGGGAGAGUUCGGGAGCAACCGGCGUGCCCGUUCGGGUCGGGGAG
rnacentral:lncRNA from 1 species